GACGAACGCGGGCGGCGUGCUUAAUACAUGCAAGUGGGACGCAAGGAAACACACUGUGCUUGCACACCGUGUUUUCUUGAGUCGCGAACGGGUGAGUAACGCGUAGGUAACCUGCCUAUUAGCGGGGGAUAACUAUUGGAAACGAUAGCUAAUACCGCAUAAUAUUAAUUAUUGCAUGAUAAUUGAUUGAAAGAUGCAAGCGCAUCACUAGUAGAUGGACCUGCGUUGUAUUAGCUAGUUGGUAAGGUAAGAGCUUACCAAGGCGACGAUACAUAGCCGACCUGAGAGGGUGAUCGGCCACACUGGGACUGAGACACGGCCCGGACUCCUACGGGAGGCAGCAGUAGGGAAUCUUCGGCAAUGGACGAAAGUCUGACCGAGCAACGCCGCGUGAGUGAAGAAGGUUUUCGGAUCGUAAAGCUCUGUUGUAAGUCAAGAACGUGUGUGAGGGUGGAAAGUUCACACAGUGACGGAGCUACCA
rnacentral:rRNA from 1 species